CAGUGAGUCUGCAUGCCGGCAGUCACAUGGAUGUCUCUGCGUUUUGAGUACUCCAAGUACGACUUGUCAGAGUUGUACUGUAGUUCAUAGAUCAAACCCUCCACAACAAGAUGAGGCCGGAUCCAUCUUGCACAUCUGAAAGAUCACCAUGGAUCUCCAACUGGGGUCGUCUCCACUGUCCUGAACCGAGAUCUGAUGUCUGUGAGGAAUGCAGUCCUACAGCUCUGCGGAAUGAUGGCACUCAUGUAGAUAGGAAAGGAAAACAAAAUACCACUGGUGUCUGUUUUAAAAUCUCUGAAAGUUAUAUUGAGCUUAAAUGACAUAUACUCUAGAUAGAAAUGGAAAUACAAUGUUUUCUUUGAUUAACUUUGCUUUUCUUUAUUGAACUUAAAUGCUCUCCUCGCUGUCUUUUUCUUCUCUGCAGUUUUGAAAGAAUAUUCUUGUGUUUCGUCAAGAUAAAGCUCCACAAGACUCCAAAUUCAGCAAGACUUGUGUUAUACUUGUGGAUACUUGUGAACUUGUGGAUACUGGGAUUGUAAUCAGGAUUCUGACUUUGUCAUGCUUCAUGUUUUCUUAUGUGUUUUACAUAUGUGUUAUGGUUCAUGUAUUCUGUGUCUUAUGUCUCUCGUCUUAUGUUUUGAUUUCCUUGUGUCUUCUUGGUGUUCCCCUCCCUGCUCUUUCCACUAUGUUCUCUCCUCUGUAUUUUCCCAUUCCUCCUUUCUUGUCCAUCUCCCCCUGUCUGUAAGCAUUGUUUCCUUCAUGCCUUCUCCUCUGUCAUCCCCUCAUCAUCUCACCUGUCCUCCUCCCUCCUCUCACCUCACCUGUUCCUCGUCUUGUCAUUAGUGUCUGUGUAUUUAGUUUCUGCCUGCCCUCUUCUCUUUGUCAGGUCAUCGCUUCUGUCUGGUGUCUCCAUGGUGUUUAAUGUCUCCUCCAAGGUCCUUCCUUCGAGUUCCUUGUUUUUCCUGUUUCCAAGUGGGGGCUGAAAAUCAUCAAAGCAUGCUGAGAGAUACAGAUGUUAGCAUGACAUAUCCAGCAGCCGCAGACUUAGGAGCCGAAUUUGGGUUUUUUUGGCAUACCUGAUAAAGAUGUUUGAGCUUCACUGUGUAGAAUGAUGAACGAGCAGAGUCCGACACUAGACCCCUGUUUUCACGUUCAUUGAUCCAAGUGUAGAAUUUCUCUCUCAGUACCUGAUUUUGCACAUAAAUGUAUAUCUGAUGCUUUGUACACAAGUGUGACGUGGGAAAUCAAAGCCUCCAGUACACACAGAUCAAAUACAGUAAGGUAGAGAUCUUGUGUUCAGCAGUGAAUGAAAAUGAUUUCUAUAUUGAUGCAGGCUGGAAUUUUAAUGACUGAGAAGUAGCUGGAACCAUUUUAAGGAAUGUUGUAAUGUGCUUUAGUUUGAAUUAGCUGUUUAGUGCAGCAAAUGUGCUUUCCUUUCUUUAAUCUUGCUGACUUGCAGUGUAUUGCAAAAUGUGCUGUUGAGACUCCCAGAUGUUUCUGCAAUGAUAUCAGAAACAGAUAAGUUACUGUAACGGCACUCAGACAUUGUACAGCGGGCGGAAUCUGUCAAACUGUGAAAUUGCCAUUUCAUAAGGUCCAUUGUAGAAAUGUCCACACAUUGCUGUGCAAAGUUCUUUUUAACUGACUGAGGAGAAAUAAACAGAUUGCU